rnacentral:rRNA from 1 species
AGCCACAGCCAUGUCACCCUGCAGCCCAAGACCGGUUACUCACUGAAGCUAAGCAGGGCUGAGCCUGGUCAGUACCUGAAUGGGAGACCACUAGGGAACACUAGGUUGCUGUUGGAA